rnacentral:lncRNA from 1 species
GCAACCCAGAUUUAAACCCGUCUCCGCCGACGUCAACUUCAAGCCCGCCUCCUCCACCUCCGCCGCCAUCAAUUCUAAGCCCACCUCCGCCAACUCCGCCGACAUCAAUUCUCAGUCCACCUCCGCCAACUCCGCCGACAUCAAUUCUGAGUCCACCUCCCCCAACUCCGCCGCCACCUCCGCCGACAUCAAUUCUGAGUCCACCUCCGCCUAACCCAACUUCCAAUCCGCCAUCUUUUCAGCAGCCUCCGCCAGCUACAAAGGCGGCGCCGCCGUUCAAUCCGCCAAGUGAAGGCCAGGUGACUCCAGGUCCUGCCCGUCUUUAG